UGAGGAAUAUUGGUCAAUGGGCGAGAGCCUGAACCAGCCAAGUAGCGUGCAGGACGACGGCCCUAUGGGUUGUAAACUGCUUUUGUAUGGGGAUAAAGUCAAUCACGUGUGAUUGUUUGCAGGUACCAUACGAAUAAGGACCGGCUAAUUCCGUGCCAGCAGCCGCGGUAAUACGGAAGGUCCGGGCGUUAUCCGGAUUUAUUGGGUUUAAAGGGAGCGUAGGCUGGAGAUUAAGUGUGUUGUGAAAUGUAGACGCUCAACGUCUGACUUGCAGCGCAUACUGGUUUCCUUGAGUACGCACAACGUUGGCGGAAUUCGUCGUGUAGCGGUGAAAUGCUUAGAUAUGACGAAGAACUCCGAUUGCGAAGGCAGCUGACGGGAGCGCAACUGACGCUGAAGCUCGAAGGUGCGGGUAUCGAACAGGAUUAGAUACCCUGGUAGUCCGCACAGUAAACGAUGGAUGCCCGCUGUUGGUACUUGGUAUCAGCGGCUAAGCGAAAGCAUUAAGCAUCCCACCUGGGGAGUACGCCGGCNACGGUG
rnacentral:rRNA from 1 species